rnacentral:rRNA from 1 species
GACGAACGCUUGCGGCGUGCUUAACACAUGCAAGUCGAACGGAAAGGCCCUGCUUUUGUGGGGUGCUCGAGUGGCGAACGGGUGAGUAACACGUGAGUAACCUGCCCUUGACUUUGGGAUAACUUCAGGAAACUGGGGCUAAUACCGGAUAGGAGCUCCUGCUGCAUGGUGGGGGUUGGAAAGUUUCGGCGGUUGGGGAUGGACUCGCGGCUUAUCAGCUUGUUGGUGGGGUAGUGGCUUACCAAGGCUUUGACGGGUAGCCGGCCUGAGAGGGUGACCGGCCACAUUGGGACUGAGAUACGGCCCAGACUCCUACGGGAGGCAGCAGUGGGGAAUAUUGCACAAUGGGCGGAAGCCUGAUGCAGCAACGCCGCGUGCGGGAUGACGGCCUUCGGGUUGUAAACCGCUUUCGCCUGUGACGAAGCGUGAGUGACGGUAAUGGGUAAAGAAGCACCGGCUAACUACGUGCCAGCAGCCGCGGUGAUACGUAGGGUGCGAGCGUUGUCCGGAUUUAUUGGGCGUAAAGGGCUCGUAGGUGGUUGAUCGCGUCGGAAGUGUAAUCUUGGGGCUUAACCCUGAGCGUGCUUUCGAUACGGGUUGACUUGAGGAAGGUAGGGGAGAAUGGAAUUCCUGGUGGAGCGGUGGAAUGCGCAGAUAUCAGGAGGAACACCAGUGGCGAAGGCGGUUCUCUGGGCCUUUCCUGACGCUGAGGAGCGAAAGCGUGGGGAGCGAACAGGCUUAGAUACCCUGGUAGUCCACGCUGUAAACGGUGGGUACUAGGUGUGGGGUCCAUUCCACGGGUUCCGUGCCGUAGCUAACGCUUUAAGUACCCCGCCUGGGGAGUACGGCCGCAAGGCUAAAACUCAAAGGAAUUGACGGGGCCCCGCACAAGCGGCGGAGCAUGCGGAUUAAUUCGAUGCAACGCGUAGAACCUUACCUGGGUUUGACAUGGAUCGGGAGUGCCCAGAGAUGGGUGUGCCUCUUUUGGGGUCGGUUCACAGGUGGUGCAUGGCUGUCGUCAGCUCGUGUCGUGAGAUGUUGGGUUAAGUCCCGCAACGAGCGCAACCCUUGUUCACUGUUGCCAGCACGUUAUGGUGGGGACUCAGUGGAGACCGCCGGGGUCAACUCGGAGGAAGGUGGGGAUGACGUCAAGUCAUCAUGCCCCUUAUGUCCAGGGCUUCACGCAUGCUACAAUGGCUGGUACAGAGAGUGGCGAGCCUGUGAGGGUGAGCGAAUCUCGGAAAGCCGGUCUCAGUUCGGAUUGGGGUCUGCAACUCGACCUCAUGAAGUCGGAGUCGCUAGUAAUCGCAGAUCAGCAACGCUGCGGUGAAUACGUUCCCGGG